rnacentral:rRNA from 1 species
GACGAACGCUGGCGGCGUGCCUAAUACAUGCAAGUAGAACGCUGAAGCGAGGAGCUUGCUCUUCUUGGAUGAGUUGCGAACGGGUGAGUAACGCGUAGGUAACCUGCCUUGUAGCGGGGGAAAACUAUGGAAAAGGUUAGUAAAUACCCCAUAACAUUGGUUACCCCAUUUCUUUUAUUUAAAAGGGGCAAAUCCUCCAUUACAGGAUGGACUUGCGUUGUAUUAGCUAGUAGGUGAGGUAACGGCUCACCUAGGCGACGAUACAUAGCCGACCUGAGAGGGUGAUCGGCCACACUGGGACUGAGACACGGCCCAGACUCCUACGGGAGGCAGCAGUAGGGAAUCUUCGGCAAUGGGGGCAACCCUGACCGAGCAACGCCGCGUGAGUGAAGAAGGUUUUCGGAUCGUAAAGCUCUGUUGUAAGUCAAGAACGAGUGUGAGAGUGGAAAGUUCACACUGUGACGGUAGCUUACCAGAAAGGGACGGCUAACUACGUG